GGCGACUGGGCGGCCGGGCGGCCGGGCGGCCGGGUAAGCCUCCGUCCACUCCGCUCCGCCCCGUCCCGGCCGAGUAGCCCCGCCCCCUCGCCGCCCCGCUUCUCCCGCCGCACCGGGCAAUCCUGGUUGUUGGUGCCCCGCGGUCGGCGCCGGGAGCGGGAAGCAUGCGCGGCGACGGGGAACUGGGCGCCGCGGCUGGAGGCCCGCUGCUGCUGUGCGCCGCGUUGCUGGCCGUGGGCUGCGUACUGGGUCUGCGCCUGGGCCGCGGGCUGGGGGCUGCGGACCGCGGGGCGCUAGCCUGGCUCUGCUUCGACGCCCUGGUGCACUUCGCGCUGGAAGGCCCUUUUGUCUACUUGUCUUUGGUAGGAAACAUCACAGAUUCUGAUGCCUUGAUCGCUUCGUUGUGGAAAGAAUAUGGCAAAGCUGACGCAAGAUGGCUUUAUUUGGAUCCAACCAUUGUGUCUUUGGAAAUUCUGACUGUCGUCCUGGGAGGGUUUCUGGCAUUGGUUCUCAUUUAUGCCAUCGUCAAAGGGAAACAUUAUCGGUUCUGAACAUACGACAUCGCCGCUGCCUCCGUGUGAGAGACAAUCUCAGAAUCAGCAAUUAAACGUGCCAGGCGCCCAGGAGCCAGGAGCAGAGCAACCGGCCGAAACCUGGGGCUUCUCGGCAGGCACAUCACAGAGAAAAAAAGGAAACAUUCUGCUUGUGCUUCAGAGAAGAGGGAUUUUCGUCAGCACCUGGAUGGAACGUUGUCAGCACCCGGAGAGACCAGAGGAAACUGGGAAAACAGGUGACAGAGCCUCCUGCGGUGCGGGAGCUGGAAACAGCUACGACUGACCAGGCUGCAUCCUGUAAACAGUGGCUAUUUAUAGAUACUGUUGACCUUGGGCACAUGUAUGGCUCAGAGCAAAGUGCUUUCCUCCAGUGUCUUACCAAGACUGUCCAGCCCUCCCGUUCCCAGGCUCAAAGCACCCAUGCUUUGAGUUCCUCAGCCUUCAGAGAGGAGGUGGUAGCUGGAUGUACUGUCCCCAGACACUGUUGUGGGGAAAAGCUUCCAGAGAUAUACUGACACACAGUCACUGGAUUAAAUUGAUGCUCCCAUCUCAAUUAACUCAUUAGGGGUGUUUUAUCCAUACCUGAAGACUCCUUGGAGAUCCCUAUUGUAAGAUUGGGAACUCUGCCUUCUAAUCCGGCUCAUUGAUUCACUUCUGAGUGGACUGAGACAAAUCCUACCAAUUGUUGAAUUUGUUUCCUUGUUUGUGAAGCACUGAAUUUCCCCGGAAGCUACUUGUUAAAGAUGUCAGGAAAGCGAUCUUCAGGAAAUGGAAGGAAACUUGGUCCCGAAGCACGGUGUGGAGGAGAGCUUUAUGCCUGUUAGAAACACUUGUUUUGGACUUUACGUUCUUGACAGAUGCUUUUUACCAGCAUGGUCCUGUAUUAGCGUGACCACCAGGAGGAAGAGUCCUCGUCCUCGCGCGCCUUGGAGAUAGAGCCCAGUUUCUUCUUAAAGUACUACUUGUAAAUUGACAGCCUUUUGCCCUGUAGAAAAAGGUUAGAGAGCUCUAAAAUAAUCUUCUUUGGAACAACUAAUUUUGCUGUUUUCAGAUAACAAUUAUAGAGAGCUUCUGGAGCUGGAAAAAAAAAGUAAAAAAAAAAAAAAAGAAAUCACCCAGCACUAGUGCACAGGUCAAUUUUAGGUGAAGAGCCUAGGAUUUGUCUAAUGGAAAGUUACUCAAUCCAAUAAAUGAUACUAAUAAA